CCCUUCCUUUCCUGCCUCCCCCCAUCUCCACCUUGACAAUCAUAUUUCCCAAGGUCCAAGCUCACUCUCAAGGGGCAACUGAUUCUUAUUUUUGGAAGAUUUCUUAUAAUUUCUGUUUUCUGGUCCAGCUCACAGCCAACAGGCAGGCACAGGGAUCAGAGGGAGAAAUAAGUCCUUUAAUCUCAAUAGCACCCGGGGGGGAGCCACUAGGGCAAGCAGGCGAACUCAAAACUAAAAAUCAGAUCCGUGUCAGAGUGGGUCACAACUAAGAACAUGACAGUGCAGAACAAAGUCAUUCCUGAGAAUGGAGUUUCUAACAGUUCAUGGCUGUCCCCUCUCCCCCAUGCAUGCUUCACUGACCUAUGAAGUGAAGUUAAUUAAUUUUAUUUUGAAUUUUUGCUAAGAGCUCAUUGUCCAUGAUGAGGGUGUACAUGUCAUUUACUGUCUCAGGAAAGUGCUCUUGUCCAGUGACUGUAAACCCAUCCCUUGCCAGUCCUCCACUCUUCUCUGUGAAAGACAGCCAACCCUGAGAUGCAUCAGUGCUACUCGGCAAAGCUGUGACUCCUCUCUUCUUUGGAACAUCCAGCAGGGCUGCUUAGGGGAAUAAACUGGGUGAGGAAGGUUGUCCGGGUCUUGAAAGUCAGCAGAAGAGUUUGGUUUGUCAGUGGAUGGAAAUGUAGGUUCUUGAACAGAAGAGAGGAGCUAUGAAAAGACGGAGGGCUCCGUGGAGAAACUGGACCUGGGCUGUAAAUUGGAUUUAGGCAGGCAUGGCCUCAGGCCAGGCUCACAGGAGCAGAGAGAAUGAACAGUGAAUACACCUAUUGUGUGGGCUCCCAGUAGGUGGCGCUAUUGGUAAAGAACCCGCCUGCCAAUGCAGGAAACCUAAGAGACAGGUUCGAUCCCUGGGUUGGGAAGAUCCCCUGAAAAAGGAAUAGCAACCCACCGCAGUAUUCUUGCCUGGAGAAUCCCCAUGGACGGAGGAGCCUGGUGGGCUGCAGUCCAUAGGGUUGCACAGAGUUGGACAUGACUGAAGCGACUUAGCACACACACACACCUACUGUGCACCCACCUGCCCUUUGCUCAGAUGGAAAAGUGGAAAUCCCUUCAGAAUAUGAUUUCACUUUUCUUCUGCUGGAUGCUGUGGCCUAAAGAUGGAAACGCCAAGGUAGGUUGUGGUCAUGACCUCUGCCCUGGAAGAGUCCGCAAAGGCGACUGAGGAGGCCUGGAGGACAUGGCCUGUCCAGAGGCCCUGGGGCCAGCAGCCCAGGGGGAACAGAAGCAAAGUCAGGAGACCUCAUUUACUCAGGUGCUAAGAAAGGCUCACCUUUCAAAGCCCUCCAGUUGCUUUUACAUUUUAACAAGGAGGGCAGAGUUGACAAAUCAUUGAGCAGGCACUAAUCAUUUUGUGGCUCAUGUAUCUCCCCAGCGAAUACUUUUCAACACAAGCGUUUACAUUUGCAGAGAAUAAAGACUUGUAAAAAGACUGUUGGAGUUUAUGGCUGCAGGAAACCGGCUCCCAGUUUGCUCUGCUGACAAGUUUAUAAGGCCAAGGAAGUUCAUAAGAGCACCGGCCUGAAUAAGCAGAACCCGUUCACCUUAACACAGUCGGGAUCUACUCAUCAAGGAACCAAGAGCAGAGGGGAUCUUGUUAUUUUGGUUGCAUUUGGGAUUAGAAGCUAAGUCAAUACAUAUUAAAAGUAUGAAAAGGCCUGGUUUUUAAAUAACUGCCAUGGAGAUAGGAAGGAAGGCAGAAAGCAAGGGUCCUGGAGCCUGGGAAUGUUCCCUCAGCCCAUGCAUGUCUUUACAGGGCAGGUUUACACACCUGUGAGAGUUGCUCUGGGAAGAACAUUUGGCCCCCAAACCAGGAAAGCCAGGAUUUCAAUCCUGGUUCUACCAUUGUGAAUAAGUUCUCUAACCCCUUGAGCCCCUGUUAUCAUGCCUCUAAAAUGGAGAUGAAAAUAAUAUGUGCUCCCAGGAACAUAUGUAAAGCUCCUAGCCCAGAGCCAGGUCCUAGUAACUUCUCUCCACAAGUUAAGUUCUCUGCUUUCCACUUCAGAGCCCCAAGCUGCUCCCACAUCCAAGUAGCCUGGAGCCUAGACUCCACAGCUCAAGAUUCGUGUCUUGUUGUUAAUCGUGUCUUGUUGUUAAACCUUGGGUUGUCCGUCCUGUCUGAAGUUUUUAGAGAGCCCUUCCCCUCACUGGAAAAAUGAGGUCCAAAGGAUAAGUUAAGAAAAUACCCUGAAUAUUUUAACCCUGAAACCGUGUAAUCAUCAGUUAAUCCAUUUCACCUGCAACCCGUCUUCACACAUCAAGGUGGUUUUAAUUGUUGCUACAAAACUUGCAUGUCCUCCAAGAAGUGUGGAGCCUAAACAAGGUUUGCCCAAGAGUUGUCUUCCAGAAACUCGUCUUCACCUGUGUCUAGUUGGAG
rnacentral:lncRNA from 1 species